GGGACUGAGGGAAUGCUUGGCAGAGGGGGCAGUCCUGUUGGGAAUGUGGUAGGAAGUGGAAGAAGCGCCCCAGGCCAUGAGAAUGAUGGUCGGGAUGGCGUUGGGAGAUUAGGGAAAGAUGGUAAACUUUGCGUUCGAGGCUGCUGCAGAAGGUGACGAGCUGCUACCCCAACAUCAAUGCCUGCAAAUGACAAAGCAAUCAAGAAUGCUAAAGCAAAGCAAUUGAAAGAGGCCAUUUUUGUUCAAAGAUUUCGAAACAAAUGAAGCAGAUGAAACGAAGUUCUUUAUCUGAAUAGUUGUGAGUGAGGAAAACAAAGCAUGGUAUUGAGGUUUAUAUAGGCAUUGGAGUAGUGAAUAGAAAUCCCCUGCCCUUAAACAAUGCCCCAUGCAUGCCCCCAAACCAAAUUAGCGCCACAUGUUUUUUAUUUUUUCCAUUUUAAUUGUAGUUCAUUUUUUAAAUAAAAAAUUUAUAAUGAUUUGAAUUAAUUUUUAACUUAUUAUCAACGUUUUUAUUUUUGUUUUAUUUUUAUUUUACAUUAAUUUUACCUAUUCUUUAAUUAACAACUUUAUAAUGACUUAGAGUUUAUCUAAUAGAGGUUUUUUUUUUAUAAUCGGUCUUAUAAUAAAAUUUUAUAAGGUGGGAACAAGUCCCACUGUGACAACAUGAUCCUUCAAUUUUUGGUGGUGGCAUGCCUUUAGUCAAAGGAUCAGCUAACAUCUGCUCAAUGCUAAUGUGCUCAAUGACCAAUUUCUUUUCUUUAACAUGUUCCCUCAUGCCUAGGUACUUAAAGUCGAUAUGUUUACUUCGACUUCCACUUCUUCCGUUCUUAGCCAUAGAGACAGCAGUUGAAUUGUCACAAUAUAUGAAAUAAUCAAAACCCAUAAUGACUCAGCCCAAAAAUCUCGAGCUUCAAACCCAAAUUAAAUUAAAUCAAAACCAUAAUUUAUUAUGUACAAUUGCACAAAAUUAACAUAAUUUAAGUGUGUCAUACUGCAUAUUAAAUUAAAGUUUACGUUUGACAUUAUAGAUAAUAUUCACGUGUAAAAUUUUGAGAUUUAUUCCCUUAAUUAAAGUAAUAUGUCAAAUAGAAUACUUGAACAAUCCUCCAUGUUGGCAAAGUUUAUGUACAGUAGUAGAAGCGAACUAAAUAAUUAGAAUAAAUCUAAAGUAUGGCUUACAUAUAAUUUAUUCACAAUGUGACUUAAACUUUGUCCUUCAAGAUUUCACGGUCUCAAUUUAUGUCUUAAAAUUUUAAGAUCAUUUUAGGUUUGUUAAAAAAUUAAAAGUUUAGAAAGUUAGAAUUGUUGCUUGAGGCGUGAAUAUCUUUAUUCUUUAGGAUAUUUGCGGAUUUACCACCUCUCAGGAUUUCGUUUGUAUCAUGCACAAUGAAAAAAUUGAAAAAAAAAAUUUCACAUUUGAAUGGAAUUGAGCUGUUAGGCUCAAGCCUCAUGUGCGCAUAUAUAUUCUCUUAUUUUGAGUCUUACAAGUUUAUAGUAAACCAAAUCUAUAUAAACAUCAUUUCAUUAGGUCAAUCUAAAAUAUGUUUAAUAUGUGUAAUUCUUUAAAAUAGAUGAAAACUUCAAAUAUGGUUUAGGUCAUUUUUAGAUUUGUCUUAUUUUAGGUUCAAAUCAUUCGAAUUUGAGGCUAAGUUUUUCAUGUCUAAUCAUUAUUGAUCCGAAUCAUUUUAGAUUUUGAUCAUUUUAAGUUCCAAUUAUUUUGUGAUCAAAUCAUUUCAAGUUUAGAUAAAUUUGGGUCGAUUCGAAUUUGACUUAAUUACGUAGUUAACUUUUUUUUAUAAUAAAUUGAGCUGAAUGAAAGUUAGAUUAGAAUUUAUUUAGUGUGCCUUUGUGUUUAAUUCGAAAUUUAAACAUCUCCCUUCGAAAUAAACAUGUUAAGACAAUUUUAUUUUAAAGACAAUAAUACAACAUAGUUGAUUUGGGAGAUAAACAUGUUAAUUUUUUAAUCCCAACCAAAAUUGUACAUAAUUCUUUUAUGUCAUAUUAAAUACAUGUAACGUCUUAUAAAAAUUGUCAAUAAAUUAUGCCUAGCGACAACGUUAUUCAACUCUAAUUUCAUUGUUAAUACCUAUUUCUAUUUUUCUUCUACUGUCUUCAACUUUAAAUAUAAAGGGAUUGAAAUCUUAAGAAUUGAGAUUUCUUUUCUCUGUAUUAGUGGACGUCUGAUUUUUUGUUUGAUUGUUUUUUUUUUACUGGAAUUGACACAUAUCUUUUCAGAUUUAUCAAUAUUUUUAAAAUUUAUUUAAGAUAUGUAUAUAAAUAUAUUACAAAUAUAAGAUAAAUGAAACUAAAUACAUUUCAAAUAUAAAAUAUUCAUUAAUAAAUUGAACAAAUAAAAAUUUAUCAUUCAAAUAAAUCUAAAAUUAUUAAUAACAAUCCAUCAUUUAAUAUGAAAUUUUAUGGAUUUAGCUCAUUUACUUAAUAAAAGAAGCUAAAAGGUGAACGAAUAUAUUUUUUCUUUGAUAAUCGGGUGAACGGUUUUUCUUAAUUAUAUUUUGAAUGUGAAAGUAUAUUCCAUUUUUUUAAAAACUUUACAUUCUGAUGUAACAUUUUUAAUUAGUCACGUUUCAAUUAAGUUUUUAGCAUAAUAGUAAAUAAUUAAAAGUUUAAUAUUUUUAAUAUUAUUCAUGCACAGGACGGUGCAUUAUGUUCUGGCAAGUGUGACAGGAAUUGAUCGGAAUGAGUUGGUGCAAUUGGUACGGACCGAAAUUUUCACCAGUGUAGAAAAAGCGUGUUGGGUGUUUCGCAAUGUUAUUGAAACCAAACUAAACAGACCAAGAACCGAUGAACCCGAGGACUAGAGCAAACUGCAGUUAAACAACAAAUCAUCAGCCGGUUAAGCCGUAUUUUAACCUUUUCUAAACUGGAAAUACGAAAAUUUCACUUCAAAUCCCUUGAGCUUUUGUCACACUUCUUCUCUGCACUCAAUGAAAUAAAACACAACAUAAAAAUAUAAGCACCAUUUCUUUUAUUACUUUUUCUACUAAAAUAAGUUUUUUUUUCUCAUAAAAAACCUAAGAUGGGGAGAGGAUUUUAAAAUUCAAAACCUUCGAAAUAGAUGAGUUUGAGGUUGUUAAUAUUAUUUUAUAUUUUUGAAUAGUAAAUUAAUUGUAUUAGUGGUUUAACCAAUUGGAUCGAGAAUUAAUGAUUUGAUUGAUUUGAGUUUGGGCUGCUCAUUACCUUGACUGCAUUUAUCAUUUAAUUCUUUUUUUAAUUAGCCAAACUCAUGUUCACAAUGGUAUAACAGUAAUUAAUGACUUCAUGGACAGAACAUCAAUAUAUAAAUACACAAACAAAUAUAAUGGGAAUUGGAGAACUCCAAUUUAUACAAACAAAUAUAAGUGUGCAAAUUCAAUACUCAUAAUAAAUACACAAAGAUGACUAAAAACAUUAUUAAACCAGAUCCAGUAUGCAGCAUACAAGAAAAGAGGGUAUUUCAAGGAGUAGAACGAGAAGGUGGUGGAGAAAAGGAAGGAAUAGAGGGAACUGCAGUUGGGAUUGAGGGAAUGCUUGGCAGAGGCGGCAGUCCUCUUGGCAAUGUGGUAGGAAGUGGAGGAAGCGCCCCAGGGUUUGGGAUAUUAGGGAAAGAUGGCAAUGGCGGAAAAGAGAAAGGAAUAGGGGGAAUUGCAGUUGGGAUUGUGGGGACUGAGGGAAUGCUUGGCAGAGGGGGCAGUCCUGUUGGGAAUGUGGUAGGAAGUGGAGGAAGCGCCCCAGGCCAUAAGAAUGAUGGUCGGGAUGGCGUUGGGAGAUUAGGGAAAGAUGGUAAACUUUGCGUUCGAGGCUGCUGCAGAAGGUGACGAGCUGCUACCCCAACAUCAAUGCCUGCAAAUGACAAAGCAAUCAAGAAUGCUAAAGCAAAGCAAUUGAAAGAGGCCAUUUUUGUUCAAAGAUUUUGAAACAAAUGAAGCAGAUGAAACGAAGUUCUUUAUCUGAAUAGUUGUGAGUGAGGAAAACAAAGCAUGGUAUUGAGGUUUAUAUAGGCAUUGGAGCAGUGAAUAGAAAUCCCCUGCCCCUAAACAAUGCUCCAUGCAUGCCCUCAAACCAAAAUAGCUCCACAUGUUUUUUAUUUUUUUCAUUUUAAUUUUUUUAAAUAAAAACUCUGUAAUGAUUUGAAUUAAUUUUUAACUUAUUAUCAACGUUUUUAUUUUUGUUUUAUUUUUAUUUUACAUUAAUUUUACCUAUUCUUUAAUUAAAAAAUUUAUAAUGACUUAGAGUUAAUUUGAGAGAGUUUUUUUUAUAAUUGGUCUUAUAAUAAAAUUUUACAAAGCAGAAACAAGUUCCACUGUGAAAACAUGAUCCUUAAAUUUUUGGAGAUAACCAUGUUAAUUUUUUAAUCCCAACCAAAAUUCGAAAUAAUUCUUUUAUGUCAUAUUAAAUACACGUAACGUCUUAUAAAAAUUGUCAAUAAAUUAUGCAUAGUGACAAGGUUAUUCAAAUCUAAUUUCAUUGUUAAUACCUAUUUUUAUUUUUCUUCUACUGUCUUCAACUUUAAAUAUAAAGGGAUUGAAAUUUUAAGAAUUGAGAUUUCUUUUCUCUGUAUUAGCGGACGUCUUAUUUUUUGUUUGAUUGUUUUUUUUACUGGAAUUGACACAUAUCUUUUCAGAUUUAUCAAUAUUUUUAAAAUUUAUUUAAGAUAUUAUUGGGAAUUAUCCAUAUUUAUGGAAAAUCAAAGAUAUGGGUAUCAAAUAUUGGAAAGUCAAAGAUAUGGGUAUCGAGAUAUUGGCAUAAUAAAAUCUGAGAUAUUUGCAAUAUAUGGUCCCUAAUUGUAAAGUGACUUUGCAAGUUGAUCCCUGAACCUCAACUAUAAAUAGGCAUAACCAUCUCUCAUUCUGUAUCUCAAACUUGCCAUUCUCUACUUAAGGCAUUGUUUUCUCUCUCUCUCUUUGUAAAUUCUCACUUGUAUUUUGGAGUGAAAUAUAUUUGGUAGUGCCCGAGGACGUAGGCAAAAUUUGCUGAACCUCAUUAAAUUCUUGUGUUCUUUAUUGUAUUAUUCUGCAUGAAUUGUGUGUGUGAUUGUAGUGAUUUAUUGUGCUAUUAAAUUACGAUUGAGGGAUAUUCUGGCUAGGAAAGACCUGGUACUUAAGUGAUCCUUGUGAUCCACCUCUCUUUCCUGGGAAUUGAACUUAGUGUGAUUUUUUAGUACAAUAAUUUUACUCUUUUACACGCUUCCGCACAACAAUUGGUAUCAGAGCUAGAUUCGUACUUGAGGAAUACGAUCGUUCACGGCACUGUUCACGUACUGUAGUUGGGAUUGAGGAGAAAAAGAUGGAAAAGUCAUCGUCAAAGACUACUGUGACCAAUGCGAAAUUUGAAGUAGAGAAAUUUGAUGGUACCAAUAAUUUUGGUAUGUGGCAAUGUGAGAUCCUGGAUGUCUUAUGUCAACAAGAGCUGGAUAUAGCCCUUGAAGAAAAACCUGACAAGAUGGAUGACAAGGAGUGGGCCAAGAUCAAUAGACAGGCAUGUGGAACAAUUCGCCUAUGUUUGGCCAAAGAGCAGAAGUACUCUGUCAUGAGGGAGACAUCAGCGAAGAAGUUGUGGGAUACACUGGAAGAAAAGUUUCUAACAAAAAGUCUUGAAAAUAGGCUUUAUAUGAAAAAAAAACUUUAUCGAUUCACGUAUGCACCCGGUAUGUCGAUGAAUGACCAUGUGAACUCAUUCAAUAAAAUUUUAGCAGACUUGCUAAAUUUGGAUGAGAAAUUUGAAGAUGAAGACAAGGCAUUAUUGUUGUUGAAUUCCCUUCCUGAUGAAUAUGAUCAUCUUACCACCACAUUGCUUCAUGGGAAGGACACGAUCACAUUUGAUGCAGUCUGUAGUGCGUUGUAUAGAUCUGAGACUCGAAAGAAAGAUAAAAGAGAUCACAGAGAUACAACCGCAGAAGUCUUAACAGUAAGAGGUCGUUCACACAGUAGCAAAUCUGGUAGAAGGGGAAAGUCCAAAGGGAGACCCGCCAAAGAUGAAUGUGCCUUUUGCCGUGAAAAAGGGCAUUGGAAAAAGAAUUGUCCUAAGCUACAAAAGGGCAAGGCUAUUUCUAAUGCAUGUGUAGCGGAGCAUGAUGAGGAGUCAGACUUUAGCUUGGUUGGCAUGGCAAUGGCAUGUCAAACGGAUGAGUGGAUUUUGGAUUCAGGAUGUACUUACCAUUUGUGCCCUAAUAAGGACUGGUUUUCUAGUCUUAAAGAGCUAGAAGGUGGAAUUGUUCUUAUGGGAAAUGAUAGUGCUUGUAAGACAAUGGGAGUGGGUACAGUCCAAUUGAAGAAUCACGACGGCUCAAUCCAAGUCUUGACAGAUGUUCGCUACGUACCUAGCCUGAAGAAAAAUCUCAUCUCAUUAGGUGCCCUAGAAUCUAAAGGGCUCACAAUCACUUUGAGAGAUGGAUUACUAAAAGUAGUAGCUGGGCAACUGACGGUGAUGAAAGGCACAAGAAGAAAUAACUUGUAUUUUUUAAAUAGAAGUACAGUUAUUGGAUCAACAUCAACAGUUUCUACAAAAGAUGUAGAUUCAGAGGCUACCAGAUUAUGGCAUAUGCGAUUGGGACAUGCUGGUGAAAAAGCUUUGCAGACAUUGGUGAAGCAAGGCUUAUUGAAAGGUGCAAAUUCUUGCAAAAUGGAAUUCUGUGAACAUUGUGUUCUGGGCAAGCAGAAGAGGGUAAAAAUUGGUCCAGCAAUUCACAAUACGAAAGGAAUUCUGGACUACGUUCACAGUGAUGUGUGGGGACCUACCAAAGUAGCUUCUUUGGGAGGUAUGCACUAUUUUGUUACUUUUGUUGAUGAUUAUUCAAGAAAAGUAUGGGUGUAUCUAAUGAAAAGAAAAAGUGAAGUUUUGGAUGCAUUUCUGAAAUGGAAGAAGAUGGUGGAGACUCAGACUGGUCGAAAGGUCAAACGACUUCGAUCAGAUAAUGGUACUGAGUACAAAAACGAUCCAUUUCUACAAGUACGCCAAGAUGAGGGCAUUGUGCGACACUUCACUAUUCGGGAUACACCACAGCAAAAUGGGGUGGCAGAACGAAUAAAUCGAACUAUACUGGAGAAAGUUCGAUGUAUGUUGUCCAAUGCUGGAUUGGGCAAAGAAUGUUGGGCUGAGGCAGUUACAUAUGCGUGCCAUCUAAUUAACUGUUUGCCAUCAGUUGCAAUAAAUGGAAAAACUCCUAUGGAGAUGUGGACUGGUAAAUCUGCUACUGAUUAUGAUUCUUUGCAUGUAUUUGGUUCCACUGCAUAUUAUCAUGUAAAAGAAUCUAAGUUAGACCCAAGAGCAAAGAAAGCAUUAAUCUUGGGUAUAACUGAUGGAGUAAAAGGAUAUCGUCUCUGGUGUCCUGAUACAAGGAAGAUUGUUUUCAGUAGAGAUGUGACUUUUGAUGAAUCAACCAUGUUGAAGUACAAGGAUUCACAAAAGGAUGACAAAACCAGUAGCACUUUGUAGCAGGUGGAGCUUGAAAAGGUUAACGAUGAUCCAGCUAAUAUUGAAGGGACAAAUGAUGAAGAGGUUCCUACCCAAGAAUCUCUACAGCAACAAGAUUCAAUUGCAUAUAGAAGGCCAAGAAGAGAGAUUCGUAAGCCUGCUCGCUUUGAUGAUAUAAUGGCCUAUGCACUUCCAAUUACAGAUGAUGAUGUUCCUUCUACUUACACAGAAGUAAUAAGUAACCCUGAUGGUGUAAAGUGGAAGCAAGCAAUGAAUGAAGAAAUGCAGUCUCUUCAUAAAAAUAAGACCUAGGAGUUGGUGGCACUACCCAAGGGAAAGAAGGCAAUUGGAUGCAAAUGGGUAUAUGCAAAGAAGGAAGGAUUUCCUAAUAAAAAUGAAAUUCGAUACAAGGCUAGAUUAGUAGCAAAGGGUUACGCUCAGAAAGAAGGAAUAGACUACAAUGAAGUGUUUUCUCCAGUUGUGAAGCAUUCGUCUAUUCGGAUCUUGCUAGCCUUGGUUGCGCAAUAUGAUCUUGAACUAGUUCAGCUUGAUGUGAAGACCGCGUUUUUACACGGUGAUUUGGAAGAGGAAAUCUAUAUGACUCAGCCAGAUGGAUUCAAGGUUGCUGGAAAAGAAAAUUGGGUUUGCAAACUGACAAAGUCGCUUUAUGGAUUGAAGCAAUCUCCAAGGCAGUGGUACAAGCGAUUUGAUCAGUUCAUGAAAGGGCAAAGGUACACAAGAAGUAAAUUUGAUCAUUGCGUGUAUUUUCAGAAGCUACAAGAAGGAACUUUCAUAUACUUUCUCUUAUAUGUUGAUGAUAUGCUAAUAGCAUCUAAGAGCAAAGUUGAGAUUGAAAGAUUGAAGACUCAACUCAAUCUCGAGUUUGAGAUGAAAGAUUUAGGAGAAGCUAAAAAGAUUCUCGGCAUGGAAAUUUGGAGAGAUAGAGCUCAUGAUAGAGUUAGCUUGUCUCAGAAGCAGUAUUUGAAAAAGGUACUACAGCAGUUUGGCAUGAACGAGCAGACAAAACCUGUAAGUACCCCGUUGGCUUCUCAUUUCAAGCUUUCUGCACAACUAUCUCCUUCGACGAAUACGGAACGAGAAUACAUGUUGCAAGUUCCGUAUUCUAAUGCAGUGGGUAGCUUGAUGUAUGCAAUGGUGUGUACAAGACCCGACAUUUCACAGGCAGUUAGUAUAGUGAGCAGGUAUAUGCAUAAUCCUGGAAAAGGACAUUGGCAAGCUGUGAAAUGGAUUCUACGGUAUAUUCAUAAGACCAUGGAUAUUGGAUUACUGUUCAAGCAGGAUACUACACUUGGUAAAGGUGUUGUUGGGUACGUUGAUUCUGAUUAUGCCGGUGAUUUGGACAAACGAAGAUCAACCACUGGUUAUGUGUUUACUCUUGCUGAAGGACCAAUAAGUUGGAAGUCUACACUGCAGUCUACAGUUGCGUUGUCAACCACAGAAGCUGAAUACAUGGCUGUAACAGAGGCUGUAAAGGAAGCUAUUUGGUUACAAGGUAUGGUUAAAACCUUGGGAUUGGUCCAGGAGCAUAUUAAUGUGUAUUGUGAUAGUCAAAGUGCUAUUCAUUUAGCAAAGAAUCAAGUCUAUCAUGCACGUACAAAGCAUAUCGAUGUACGUUUCCACUUUGUGCGGGAAAUUAUUGAUGAGGGGAAAAUUCACCUUCAAAAGAUUAAGACUGCAGAUAAUCCCGCAGAUAUGAUGACCAAGGUGGUAACAACAAUCAAGUUCGAACAUUGUUUGAACUUGAUCAAUAUUCUGCAUGUUUAACAGUUGAAGAAGGCACUAUCAAGUGUUGUUGACAAAGGCAGAGAGAAUUGUGUGAAGAUAAGAUUACUCGAAUCAAAUCUUCAAGGUGGAGAUUAUUGGGAAUUAUCCAUAUUUAUGGAAAAUCAAAGAUAUGGGUAUCAAAUAUUGGAAAGUCAAAGAUAUGGGUAUCAAAUAUUGGAAAGUCAAAGAUAUGGGUAUCGAGAUAUUGGCAUAAUAAAAUCUGAGAUAUUUGCAAUAUAUGGUCCCUAAUUGUAAAGUGACUUUGCAAGUUGAUCCCUGAACCUCAACUAUAAAUAGGCAUAACCAUCUCUCAUUCUGUAUCUCAAACUUGCCAUUCUCUACUUAAGGCAUUGUUUUCUCUCUCUCUCUUUGUAAAUUCUCACUUGUAUUUUGGAGUGAAAUAUAUUUGGUAGUGCCCGAGGACGUAGGCAAAAUUUGCUGAACCUCGUUAAAUUCUUGUGUUCUUUAUUGUAUUAUUCUGCAUGAAUUGUGUGUGUGAUUGUAGUGAUUUAUUGUGCUAUUAAAUUACGAUUGAGGGAUAUUCUGGCUAGGAAAGACCUGGUACUUAAGCGAUCCUUGUGAUCCACCUCUCUUUCCUGGGAAUUGAACUUAGUGUGAUUUUUUAGUACAAUAAUUUUACUCUUUUACACGCUUCCGCACAACAGAUAUGUAUAUAAAUAUAUUACAAAUAUAAGAUAAAUGAAACUAAAUACAUUUCAAAUAUAAAAUAUUCAUUAAUAAAUUGAACAAAUAAAAAUUUAUCAUUCAAAUAAAUCUAAAAGUAUUAAUAACAAUCCAUCAUUUAAUAUGAAAUUUUAUGGAUUUAGCUCAUUUACUUAAUAAAAGAAGCUAAAAGGUGAACGAAUAUAUUUUUUCUUUGAUAAUCAGGUGAACGGUUUUUUCUUAAUUAUAUUUUGAAUGUGAAAGUAUAUUCCAUUUUUUAAAAAACUUUACAUUCCGAUGUAACAUUUUUAAUUAGUCACGUUUCAAUUAAGUUUUUAGCAUAAUAGUAAAUAAUUAAAAGUUUAAUAUUUUUAAUAUUAUUCAUGCACAGGACGGUGCAUUAUGUUCUGGCAAGUGUGACAGGAAUUGAUCGGAAUGAGUUGGUGCAAUUGGUACGGACCGAAAUUUUAACCAGUGUAGAAAAAGCGUGUUGGGUGUUUCGCAAUGUUAUUGAAACCAAACUAAACAGACCAAGAACCGAUGAACCCGAGGACUAGAGCAAGCUGCAGUUAAACUACAAAUCAUCAGCUGGUUAAGCCGUAUUUUAACAUUUUCUAAACUGGAAAACUGAAAAUUUCACUUCAAAUCGCUUGAGCUUUUGUCACACUUCUUCUCUGCACUCAAUGAAAUAAAACACAGCAUAAAAAUAUAAGCACCAUUUCUUUUAUUACUUUUUCUACUAAAAUAAGUUUUUUUUUUCUCGUAAAAAACCUAAGAUGGGGAGAAGAUUUUAAAAUUCAAAACCUUCGAAAUAUAUGAGUUUGAGGUUGUUAAUAUUAUUUUAUAUUUUUGAAUAGUAAAUUAAUUGUAUUGGUGGUUUAACUUAUUGGAUCGAGAAUUAAUGAUUUGAUUGAUUUGAGUUUGUGCUGCUCACUAUCUAGAUUGCAUUUAUCAUUUAAUUCUUUUUUUAAUUAGCCAAAAUCAUGUUAACAAUUCAUGGACCGAACAUCAAUAUAUAAAUACACAAACAAAUAUAAUGGGAAUUGGAGAACUCCCAUUUAUGCAAACAAAUAUAAGUGGACAAAUUCAAUACUCAUAAUAAAUACACAAAGAUGACUAAAAACAUUAUUAAACCAGAUCCAGUAUGCAGCAUACAAGAAAAGGGGGUAUUUCAAGGAGUAGAACGAGAAGGUGGUGGAGAAAAGGAAGGAAUAGAGGGAACUGCAGUUGGGAUUGAGGGAAUGCUUGGCAGAGGCGGCAGUCCUCUUGGCAAUGUGGUAGGAAGUGGAGGAAGCGCCCCAGGGUUUGGGAGAUUAGGGAAAGAUGGCAAUGGUGGAAAAGAGAAAGGAAUAGGGGGAAUUGCAGUUGGGAUUGUGGGGACUGAGGGAAUGCUUGGCAGAGGGGGCAGUCCUGUUGGGAAUGUGGUAGGAAGUGGAGGAAGUGCCCCAGGCCAUGAGAAUGAUGGUCGGGAUGGCGUUGGGAGAUUAGGGAAAGAUGGUAAACUUUGCGUUCGAGGCUGCUGCAGAAGGUGACGAGCUGCUACCCCAACAUCAAUGCCUGCAAAUGACAAAGCAAUCAAGAAUGCUAAAGCAAAGCAAUUGAAAGAGGCCAUUUUUGUUCAAAGAUUUCGAAACAAAUGAAGCAGAUGAAACGAAGUUCUUUAUCUGAAUAGUUGUGAGUGAGGAAAACAAAGCAUGGUAUUGAGGUUUAUAUAGGCAUUGGAGUAGUGAAUAGAAAUCCCCUGCCCUUAAACAAUGCCCCAUGCAUGCCCCCAAACCAAAUUAGCGCCACAUGUUUUUUAUUUUUUCCAUUUUAAUUGUAGUUCAUUUUUUAAAUAAAAAAUUUAUAAUGAUUUGAAUUAAUUUUUAACUUAUUAUCAACGUUUUUAUUUUUGUUUUAUUUUUAUUUUACAUUAAUUUUACCUAUUAUUUAAUUAACAAAUUUAUAAUGACUUAGAGUUUAUCUAAUAGAGGUUUUUUUUUAUAAUCGGUCUUAUGAAAAAAUUUUAUAUGGUGGGAACAAGUCCCACAGUGACAACAUGAUCCUUCAAUAUUUGGUGGUGGCAUGCCUUUAGUCAAAGGAUCAGCUAACAACUGCUCAAUGCUAAUGUGCUCAAUGACCAAUUUCUUUUCUUUAACAUGUUCCCUCAUGCCUAGGUACUUAAAGUCGAUAUGUUUACUUCGACUUCCACUUCUUCCGUUCUUAGCCAUAAAGACAGCAGUUGAAUUGUCACAAUAUAUGAAAUAAUCAAAACCCAUAAUGACUCAGCCCAAAAAUCUCGAGCUUCAAACCCAAAUUAAAUUAAAUCAAAACCAUAAUUUAUUAUGUACAAUUGCACAAAAUUAAUAUAAUUUAAGUGUGUCAUACUGCACAUUAAAUUAAAAUUUACGUUUGACAUUAUAGAUAAUAUUCACGUGUAAAAUUUUGAGAUUUAUUCCCUUAAUUAAAGUAAUAUGUCAAAUAGAAUACUUGAACAAUCCUCCAUGUUGGCAAAGUUUAUGUACAGUAGUAGAAGCGAACUAAAUAAUUAGAAUAACUCUAAAGUAUGGCUUACAUAUAAUUUAUUCACAAUGUGACUUAAACUUUGUCCUUCAAGAUUUCACGGUCUCAAUUUAUGUCUUAAAAUUUUAAGAUUAUUUUAGGUUUGUUAAAAAAUUAAAAGUUUAGAAAGUUAGAAUUGUUGCUUGAGGCGUGAAUAUCUUUAUUCUUUAGGAUAUUUGCGGAUUUACCAUCUCUCGGGAUUUUGUUUGUAUCAUGCACAAUGAAAAAAUUGAAAAAAAAAAUUUCACAUUUGAAUGGAAUUGAGCUGUUAGGCUCAAGCCUCAUGUGCGCAUAUAUAUUCUCUUAUUUUGAGUCUUACAAGUUUAUAGUAAACCAAAUCUAUAUAAACAUCAUUUCAUUAGGUCAAUCUAAAAUAUGUUUAAUAUGUGUAAUUCUUUAAAAUAGAUGAAAACUUCAAAUAUGGUUUAGGUCAUUUUCAGAUUUGUCUUAUUUUAGGUUCAAAUCAUUCGAAUUUGAGGCUAAGUUUUUCAUGUCUAAUCAUUAUUGAUCCGAAUCAUUUUAGAUUUUGAUCAUUUUAAGUUCCAAUUAUUUUGUGAUCAAAUCAUUUCAAGUUUAGAUAAAUUUGGGUCGAUUCGAAUUUGACUUAAUUACGUAGUUAACUUUUUUUAUAAUAAAUUGAGCUGAAUGAAAGUUAGAUUGGAAUUUAUUUAGUGUGCCUUUGUGUUUAAUUCGAAAUUUAAACAUCUCCCUUCGAAAUAAACAUGUUAAGACAAUUUUAUUUAAACGACAAUAAUACAACAUAGUUGAUUUGGGAGAUAAACAUGUUAAUUUUUUAAUCCCAACCAAAAUUGUACAUAAUUCUUUUAUGUCAUAUUAAAUACAUGUAGCGUCUUAUAAAAAUUGUCAAUAAAUUAUGCCUAGCGACAACGUUAUUCAACUCUAAUUUCAUUGUUAAUACCUAUUUCUAUUUUUCUUCUACUGUCUUCAACUUUAAAUAUAAAGGGAUUGGAAUUUUAAGAAUUGAGAUUUCUUUUCUCUGUAUUAGUGGACGUUUGAUUUUUUGUUUGAUUGUUUUUUUUACUGGAAUUGACACAUAUCUUUUCAGAUUUAUCAAUAUUUUAAAAUUUAUUUAAGAUAUGUAUAUAAAUAUAUUACAAACGUAAUGGCCCAAUAUUGCCCGGCCCGAUAAUAAAAUAUGAUAAAAUAAAUAAAGGUCCAAUGUCCAGCUUUUACAAACCCAAAAUCAAUACGGCCCAAUUAGCCUAAACCCAAUUAGCUUUAACCCAAACUCUAGCCUAGCCCAAAACCCAAUUUAGCCCAAGACUCUUCCCAAACCCCGAAAACCCUAGCAGCAACAGGAGCCUCCUUCCAGCGCUGCAACCAUAAGCUGGGCUUCUCCACGCACACACUGCCACGCACAUCUCUGUACGACCACCUCCAUACCUCCAGGCUGGCCGAAUACCUGCAAAAAAAAACGCACGGAAACAACAGCAAACAGAAAAACAACAGCAUAGAGGUGAAUUUUUAAUUAUUUUUUCAUUUUAUUUUUUGUAAAUCGGGAUAUAAGAAAGCCAUUCGAAUACUGUAACGGGAUUUACGCAUUCAAUAUACAAAGAAAUUGAGAAUACAAAAGAAUCAAAAAAGCAGAGAAAGGUGAUUUUCUGGGUUUUUUUAUUCCUUUCUAUCUUGUUGGUUACUUGAUUUUUUUUCUUUACUUUUUUAAUUUGUACAUUCAUCAAUCGUUGUUUAAAAAAGAAAUAGGAAAAUGAAAGGGAGGGAAACGUACCUGGUAGCGCGAUCCUGGCUCUCUCCGGCGUCAUUGGAGCAGGGGCUGGGAUCAAUGACUGCUCGAGUACCUUCAAUACCCAGAACGGCGCUGAGUUUUUUUUUCCGUUUAGGUUUUUGUUUUAAUGUAAAGAUAGGUUUUUAGGGUUUAUUUAGUUUUAAGCGAAGGAAUUAAAAUGUCGAUGUUUAAAGUCGAUGCAAUGACUUUGAAACAGCGUCGUUUUAGAGACCAGAUCCGAACGGUGACCCGAUCCGAGAAGGAUCCGUGCAUUAUGGAUCAUUUGGUCUAUUUGUUCAAUAGAUCCAUCUAUGUUUAAUGGAAUUGCGAUUUGAUUUCUUUUAAUUUUUUGUAAUUCGUACUGCAUAUUUUGUUCUGUUUUCAUUUAUCUGUUUUCAUUUAGAUCCAGAUUGAAACGGUAUCGUUUGCUGCAUUUGACUUUGAUUAUUCUAAGCUUUUAGGUUUAAUUGUCGAUUCAGUCCUCCAAUUUUGAAAUAAAUUUUAAUUUAACAUGAGUUUAGCCUUUUAAAAAAAAAGAAAUGAAUAGCAUUUUUUUAAUUAUAAUUAAUCCUAUUUUCGUACAUUAUAAAAUCUAACAUUAUUUGUACUAUUUGAUUUUGAUGUUUUUAAAUCUACAAUUAUUAUAACUUAAGAUAUAAUAGAUCAUUGUUUUAGUUUAUAUCCUAUACUUUAAAUUUAUUAUAUAAUAAUAUUUUGAAUCUACCAUAUUUAUUUAAUUUUGUCUUUUCCUUUUGGUUCCAUUUUAAGUCCCGAUUUUAAAUUUAUUAAUAUUUUCAUUAUAAUUGUUUUUAUUACUCUUCUAAAUUGUUUUAUUAUAUUUAAUUUUGUCUUCAAAAAGUGUUUUUUAAAACAAAUUAAUUCUUAAUUUUAAUUCAUUUUCUAACAUUAUUUUGGUAUUUAGUAUGAUAUUAUUCUCAAAUUUAUUAUUAGUACAUUUUUUAAAAAUAAUACAUUAUUUGUUUAAAUUAUUAUCAAUAUGUUUUAAUUUUAUCAAUAUUAUUUUAAAAAUAUAUAUGAUUUAUAUGAAAUUAUUCUAGUAUAUAUGUAUAUAGAUUACAUCAUUAACUUUGGAUUAACCUCUUUUACAUAAUUUUUUAAAAAUGUUUUAUUCCUUAAACCUUCUUUAUUUUAUUCGUUUUAUAGGUUGCUAAAUUAUUAAUAUGGAUGUUUGUAUGACAUGAUUAAGAUCAAGGUUUAUAUUUUCCUAUUAUUUGUUUAAUUGCUUCUAGUUUAAGUUUAAGUUGUUAUUUAUCUUUUAUAUAUCGUUAUUCAAUCAUGUUUCAUUUGUAAGAGUUGAAUUUUAUUAAAGCAUCAUAAUUCCUAAAAAAGCUUGGUGUUUAAUAGUUCUCGAGAGAAUUGUGCCCUAACUUACUGGGCUUCAAUUCUUCUCGAUGAAUUUAUAUCAUCAAGUAUCCAUUUUAUAUAAUUUUAAAAUAAAAUUCUUUAGAUUUCAAAAUGUGGGAUCCUAACUUACUGGAUACGACAUUUUGUUAUCUCGAUUUUAAAAUAAAGGUAAUAUUUGAUGUUUAAGAAUUUCGAGAAAUUGAACCCUAACUUACUAGAUUCUGAUUUCUCGAUUGACUUAAAUAGUCAAAUAUCCUUCUUAAAACAUGUUUAAAAUUUUUUAAAAAGGGACGAACUUAACUUCGAAGAUUGAACUGUUGCACUCUAACUCACUGAGUGUGGCAAUUUGUUUCUUUGAAAUGGGUCCGUCCACUUAACCAAUUCAAUUGUUUAAGCUUUCAUUUCAUGGGAUCGUAUUUAAAAAUAUUUUCAAGUUUCGACACUAAGACAUUAAAUAACCAAUUCGGUACCAAUUUUGGGCGUUACAAGGGUGCUAACCCUUCCUCAUGCGUAACUGACUUUCGAACUUAUCUUCUCAAAAUUCGCAGACCAAAAAAAUUAUUUUCAUGGUGAUCCGAUCACACCUCAACAAAAAUUGGUGGCGACUCCAAUUUUCAUUUUUUAAAGUCGACUACUAAUAAAUUUUUGUGUUCAAAAAAUGGUUUCGAUAGCUUGGCGACUCCACUGGGGACUAUAAGAGAGUCAAGCCGAAAAAUCGAUUGUUUCCUGUCUUAUCGUCGAAAAUUAAAAAUUUGAUUUGAAAAAUUACGAUCCUUUCUUUGCAUUUGUUUGUAUGAUUACGGUUUUAUACCUUGGCAUCAUAUUGCAUAAAGACUGUUUAGUCUUACCCUUUAAGUGGGAGUGAGUAGCUAUUCCUUCAUGAGGUUUUCACCUCCGUACAGGAUAGUGAAUCACUUUCGGGAUACAUCCGUACCUAUGUCUUUGUGAGAUUUUCAUCUCCGUGCAGCCAUAGGGAAAUGUAUUCCCCCGAACCAAACUCGGUCUGUAUGAGCCUAUAAUGGGUGAAGAUCGAGGAAUCUGUUGGUUCGGGUACCUCAACUUUAGAACCAAACCCCAUAUAGUGGACUUAGAAGCUCAACCUAGUUAGAACUAUUCCAAUCUCUCGUGAUUGCCUAGAUAGAUGAUUGUGUUUCUUAUACUUGAUUUGAAUUUUGUUUUUGUGUUGUACUGACUUGUUUAUGUUUUGUUGAUAUUGUUGCAUGUCACUGCAUAGUUCAAAGAGUGUCGAUUCAAGUUCAGUUACUAAAUUAGAAAACCGUUAUGGCAAACGAAUUUCUGGAUAAAGUGGAGGAUAACGCCAUUGUCAGUAUAUGGUCAGAGAAUGUGCAAUUGGAAAAAGGAGACAAUUUAUCUAAGGGAUACGUGUCAGAGCUUUGGGACUACACUCGUAUUAGUGUGACACAAAAUAGCCUUCAGGAGUUAAAUGAGAUUUGGGAUCGGUGGAAUGAUGAAACCAAGCAGUUGUUCUACUCUAAUUACGGGGACUUGCAGUACUUACUUAAAAUCAAGGUGGAUGAAAGACUGUUUCGCGCUCUCGCUCAAUAUUGGAAUCCUGCAUAUAGUUGUUUUACUUAUGGGAACGUAGAUUUGGUGCCCACAGUGGAGGAAUAUACAGCUUUACUACACUGCCCUAGGCUUCAGGUUGAUAAAGCAUAUUCUAGAGCCGCAUAUGUCCCAGCGUUUUGGAAGAAAUUAAUGAGUAUUACCGGAAUGAGCGAAUAAUGGAUCACGGCCAAGAUCAAACAGAAGGGCGAGUGUAAAUGUAUCCCAUGGAGGAAUUUGCGAGACUUGAUCCUAGCACAUCCUGAUGGGAAAAAGAAAGUUGAUGUGUUUGCUUUGAGUAUCUACGGGUUAGUGAUUUUCCCUAGAGCAUUGGGGCAUGUUAACGAAGUGGUUUCAGAUCUUUUUGAUCGGUUGGGUAAAGGGGUCAAGUCUGUUCCUGCGAUUUUGGCUGAAACGUUUAGAUCUUUGAAUGCGUGUAGGCAUGCUGGUGAAGGCAGAUUUAUAGGUUGUGCGCAAUUGUUGAUAGCUUGGUUCCAUAGUCAUUUCUUGAAGGUCGACAAAGUUUCGUAUCGGGUUUUCUCUGGGCAUUACUCCCCGUUAAAAGAGAUAGUGGCUACGCCAAGAAAGGACGAUAUUUCAGAAGAAAAUUGGAUAGCAAUUCUGUAAAAUCUUCAAGAGGAUGAUGUGGAGUGGAGAGCUCAUUGGUUGAUUCCUGAUGGAAUUCUCUACCGUUGUGAAAGCUUUGACUGGGUUUCGUUGCUUGGGAUUUGGGGAGCCGUCGGGUAUGCACCUUUGCUGGUCCUAAGGCAAUACAAUUCAAGACAGUUUGUGCCGGCAAUGUAUGGUUUAGCUCAAUGUGAGUUCUUGUACCGAGGAGACAAUUACAAGAAAAAGGUGAAAGAAAUUUCUCAGGCUUGUAAUGAGGUUCAUAGGAUGAAAAGGCUAGCUAUGGGUUCGAUGACAACUCCAGAGUAUGGUGAGUGGCGACGUAAAAUAAUUAAUGAUAGCAUUCUGGAGUUAAACUUGGAGGGUGUUCGACUAAUGGAAGAGUACCUACAAGUGAUCCCAUCAGAGUUGGAGAUUAUAAAACAAGAUUUUGAAAAGAGGAAUUUAGAACUUGAAAAGAAAAUAGAGCGGUUGGAAGAAGAGAAGAUGCAUUUGAGGCUAGAUAUUGACGUCCAAAAGUUAAAAGCUGAAAAAUUAAAGAAGUGGAAGAAUAAAGUAGAGGAGGAUCUGGAUAGCUUAAAGACGGACUACAAAAGGCUACGAGUAUCAAUGAGAACUGCUGGGCUGGGAAAGAAUUCAGAGCAGUGGCGACAGGAGAUCUAGGAAGAAAGAAACAAAGUCGAUCGGUGGGAAAGAAAGUCCUGGGAGGCUCAAGUUCAGAACGAGACCUUAGAACGGCAUGUGUUAGAAACUCAAAACUAUUAAGUGGACUUAAAAGCUAGAAUAGCAGAACUAAAGAGAUCACUUGCUGCGUAUAGAAGUCGUAAUUCUGUAGUGGAAUUAAAGAUAAGUCUGUGCAAGAUUGAAGAAAUGAAAAAGAGGAUAGAAGAAUUGGAGUAUGCAUUACAAGGCUGUAAAAAACGGAUCGAAUCCUUGGAAGGAAAUGAAGAGCGUUAGAGGGAGCAAAUUUAUCAUUCGCAGAAUCAAAUUUAGAAUAGAGAUUACAUUAUGGGCAGAGCUAUUGCUCAGAUUCGGGAGGUAGGUGAUCAUUUGCAAACAAUGGCAAUUCAGGCUGACGUGUUAAACGUAAAGUAUGAACUGGAAUCAGAUCGAGGGCAGGAGUUAGCUUCGCUGUUGAAGGAAGUUAAAGCUUUGAGUAUUAGGGCAAAGGCAUACUUGUAAUUCAUUUUAUGUAAAGAAUUUUGUUUAUCAAUAAAUUUUUCUAAAGGAAAUUGGAUCAGAAUCGACGCUCUUUUUGCAUUGAUUUCAUGCAUUUGCAUUACAUGACAUCAUAUGCAUUCAAGACUAUUAAGAAGAGGUUUUAAUUGGUUAAAAUUGUGCUUCAGUUAAUCUGGAAACCAGUAAAAAUUCAUCAAUCAAGCACCACUACGGUACCCGUGCGAAAUCAAAAAUUAUGGAUCAAAGAUUGGAAAAGCUUGAGCGCUUUCAAAAGGAAAUGCAAGAUCAAAUGAAAGAACAAAUGGAAAAGAUUCAGCAUGACAUGAUACAAAAGAUGCAGGAGUCUUAAAAUGACAUGAUGACUAAGUUGACGCAAUUAAUAACCAGAGGAGUAGAUAAAGGGAAAGGUCCUGUGAUUUGUAAUGAAGAAGAAAACAAUGAUGAACCACUUUUUCCUCCAGGUUUUACGCCUCCGCACGCGCAAGUUUAGACUGAACUGCAUCCGCGGAGACCUUCUGUUUCGAUUAGGCCUCAGCAUUUUCAAGGGGAUGUUUCAAUGCCGAAGACCUUUCAGGUCGGAUCUGGCUCUAAUCUUGGUGAUAAUUUGAAUAAUAUUGUUGUCCCGUAUUUCGAUAAAGUAGCUGAGAAGGAUAAGGUGAAGGAAGAGUUUCCAAAGCAGUUUGAGGAGAAAUAGAAAUGGAUUGAAGAGAAAUUUAGAACGAUGGAAAGCAUUGAAAGCUAUGGUGGAAUAGAUGAAAAAAAUCUGAGUCUGGUUUCGAAUUUGGUACUUUAUUACAAGUUUAAGAUGUCAGAAUUUGAGAAAUACAAUGGGACCAGUUGCCCUGAGGCCCAUAUCACCAUGUUCUGUAGGAGAAUAACGGGGUAUAUUAAUAAUGACCAAUUAUUAAUACAUUGCUUUCAGGAUAGUCUUACAAGGGCGGCGUCAAAAUGGUAAAAUCAGCUGAGCCGAACCAAAAUCGCUACUUGGAGGGAUUUGGCACAGGCUUUCAUGAGACAGUACAAUCAUGUAUUACAAAUGACGCCUAAUCGAAUAACUUUACAGAAUUUGGAGAAAAAAUCAAACGAAAGCUUCAGACAGUAUGCGCAGCGAUGGAGGGAAAUCGCAGUUCAGGUUCAGUCAGCACUUGUGGAAAAGAAAAUGACAAUGCUUUUUAUCAAUACAUUGAAAGCCCCGUUCAUUACUCACAUGUUGGGAAGUGCUUCAAAGAACUUCUCGGAUAUAAUCAUGAAUGGUGAAAUGAUUGAGCAUGCUAUUAAGAGUGGAAUAAUAGAUGGAGGGGAGAAUAAUAGAAGGACAGCCCCAAAGAAAAGAGAAAAUGAAGUGAGCAAUGUGAGCGGAUACGGCAGGUCAAUUACGGUUAAUCAACCAGGAAAGGCAGUUGCUAAUCAAUAAAGCUCAUCAAGACAAGAAGUAGGAGGGAGGUAAAACACUAAAAAACCCUAGUUUACGCCAAUUUCGAUGUCAUACGAGGAGUUAUAUCAGAAUUUAUUUAAUGCAUAUGGUGUUUCCCCUCAUUAUUUGACCCCUUUACAACCCCCUUAUCCCAAAUGGUACGAUAUAAAUGCACAAUGUGACUAUCAUGCGGGAAUCUCGGGGCAUUCAAUAGAGAAUUGCAUAACUUUCAAGAAGGUAGUGGAAAAACUCAUCCGCAUGAGUGUUGUCAAAUUUGAUGACUCACCUAACGUAGAAAAUCCGUUACCUAAUCAUGCUGAUAAGGGAGUGAAUAUGAUGGGUGAAAGUAUGGGAGAAAAAGUCAAGAAUGACAUCGGUGAAGUAAAAACUCCAUUGAAACAAGUCUGGAAAGAGAUGGUGAAAAGAGGACUAGUCAUUUCAGAUUUUGAGGAAGAAGAUGAGGUUGAAAAAUAUUGUGAAUUCCACCGUGAAGUAGGACAUGAGAUUCAAGAAUGUGAAGAAUUUAAAGCUCUGGUCCAAAGCAUGAUGGAUAACAAGGAAAUGAAGUUCUAUGAGGAAACAGAGGAAGAAAGAAGCAUAUGCGCGUCGGAAUCAACAACGAAGAUUUCAAAAAUAAAUCAUCCUGUGGUCAUUAUUUCGCACCCUAAGAACAGUAAGGCUAAGGUCUAGGUAACACCAAAAAUUAUAAUCCAUAAGCCGUCAAAUUUCUCAUAUAAAGAUAGUAAAAUGGUUCCGUGGAAGUAUGGAUGCAAUGUGACAAUCUCAACGUUUUUAUUUUUGUUUUAUUUUUAUUUUACAUUAAUUUUACCUAUUCUUUAAUUAAAAAAUUUAUAAUGACUUAGAGUUUAUUUAAUAGAGUUUUUUUUUAUAAUCGGUCUUAUAAUAAAAUUUUAUAAGGUGGGACCAAGUCCCACAGUGACAACAUGAUCCCUCAAUUUUUGGUGGUGGGAUGCCUUUAGUCAAAGGAUCAACUAACAUCUGCUCAAUGCUAAUGUGCUCAAUGACCAAUUUCUUUUCAUUAACAUGUUCCCUUAUGCCUAGGUACUUAAAGUCGAUAUGUUUACUUCGACUUCCACUUCUUUCAUUCUUAGCCAUAAAGACAGCAGUUGAAUUGUCACAAUAUAUGAAAUAAUCAAAACCCAUAAUGACUCAGCCCAAAAAACUCGAGCUUCAAACCCAAAUUAAAUUAAAUCAAAACCAUAAUUUAUUAUGUACAAUUGCACAAAAUUAACAUAAUUUAAGUGUGUCAUACUGCACAUUAAAUUAAAGUUUACGUUUGACAUUAUAGAUAAUAUUCACGUGUAAAAUUUUGAGAUUUAUUCCUUUCAUUAAAGUAAUAUGUCAAAUAGAAUACUUGAACAAUCCUCCAUGUUGGCAAAGUUUAUGUACAGUAGUAGAAGUGAACUAAAUAAUUAGAAUAAAUCUAAAGUAUGUCUUACAUAUAAUUUAUUCACAAUGUGACUUAAACUUUGUCCUUCAAGAUUUCACGGUCUCAAUUUAUGUCUUAAAAUUUUAAGAUCAUUUUAGGUUUGUUAAAAAAUUAAAAUUUUAGAAAGUUAGAAUUGUUGCUUGAGGCGUGAAUAUUCUUAUUCUUUAGGAUAUUUGUGGAUUUACCAUCUCUUAGGAUUUCGUUUGUAUCAUGCACAAUGAAAAAAUUGAAAAAAAAAUUUCCCAUUUGAAUGGAAUUGAGCUAUUAGGCUCAAGCCUAGUGUGCGCAUAUAUAUUCUCUUAUUUUGAGUCUUACAAGUUUAUAGUAAACCAAAUCUAUAUAAACAUCAUUUAAUAGGUCAAUCUAAAAUAUGUUUAAUAUGUGUAAUUCUUUAAAAUAGAUGAAAACUUCAAAUAUGGUUUAGGUCAUUUUCAGAUUUGUCUUAUUUUAGGUUCAAAUCAUUCGAAUUUGAGGCUAAGUUUUCCAUGUCUAAUCAUUAUUGAUCCGAAUCAUUUUAGAUUUUGAUCAUUUUAAGUUCCAAUUAUUUUGUGAUCAAAUCAUUUCAAGUUUAGAUAAAUUUGGGUCAAUUCGAAUUUGACUUAAUUACGUAGUUAACUUUUUUUUAUAAUAAAUUGAGCUGAAUGAAAGUUAGAUUGAAAUUUAUUUAGUGUGCCUUUGUGUUUAAGUCGAAAUUUAAACAUCUUCCUUCAAAAUAAACAUGUUAAGACAAUUUUAUUUUAAAGACAAUAAUACAACAUAGUUGAUUUGGGAGAUAAACAUGUUAAUUUUUUAAUCCCAACCAAAAUUGUACAUAAUUCUUUUAUGUCAUAUUAAAUACAUGUAACGUCUUAUAAAAAUUGUCAAUAAAUUAUGCCUAGCGACAACGUUAUUCAACUCUAAUUUCAUUGUUAAUACCUAUUUCUAUUUUUCUUCUACUGUCUUCAACUUUAAAUAUAAAGGGAUUGAAAUUUUAAGAAUUGAGAUUUCUUUUCUCUGUAUUAGUGGACGUUUGAUUUUUUGUUUGAUUGUUUUCUUUACUGGAAUUGACACAUAUCUUUUCAGAUUUAUCAAUAUUUUUAAAAUUUAUUUAAGAUAUGUAUAUAAAUAUAUUACAAACGUAAUGGCCCAAUAUUGCCCGGCCCGAUAAUAAAAAAUGAUAAAAUAAAUAAAGGUCCAAUGUCCAGCUUUUACAAACCCAAAAUCAAUACGGCCCAAUUAGCCUAAACCCAAUUAGCUUUAACCCAACUUAGCCCAAGACUCUCCUUAAACCCUGAAAACCCUAGGCAACAGGAGCCUCCUUCCAGCGCCGCAACCAUCAGCUGGGCUUCUCCAUGCACACGCUGCCACGCACAUCUCCGUACGGCCACCUCCGUACCUCCAGGCUGGCCGAAUACCUGUAAAAAAAACGCACGGAAACAACAGCAAAUAGAAAAACAACAGCAUAGGGGUGAAUUUUUAAUUAUUUUUUCAUUUUAUUUUCUGUAAAUCGGGAUAUAAGAAAGCCAUUCGAAUACUAUAACGGGAUUUACGCAUUCAAUAUACAAAGAAAUUGAGAAUACAAAAGAAUCAAAAAAGCAGAGAAAGGUGAUUUUCUAGGUUUUUUAUUCCUUUCUAUCUUGUUGGUUACUUGAUUCUUUUCUUUACUUUUUUAAUUUGUACGUUCAUCAAUCGUUGUUUAAAAAAGAAAUAGGAAAAAGAAAGGGAGGGAAACGUACCUGGUAGCGCGACCCUGGCUCUCUCCGGCGUCAUCGGAGCAGGGGCUGGGAUCAAUGACUGCUCGAAUACUUUCAAUACCUAGAGCGGCGCUGAGUUUUUUUUCGUUUAGGUUUUUGUUUUAAUGUAAAGAUAGGUUUUUAGGGUUUAUUUAGUUUUAAGUGAAGGAAUUAAAACGUCGACGUUUAAAGUCGAUGCAAUGACUUUGAAACAGCGUCGUUUUAGAGACCAGAUCCGAACGGUGACUUGAUCCGGGAAGGAUCCAUGCAUUAUGGAUCAUUUGGUCUAUUUGUUCAAUAGAUCCCUCUAUGUUUAAUGGAAUUGCGAUUUGAUUUCUUUUAAUUGUUUGUAAUUUGUACUGCAUAUUUUGUUCUGUUUUCAUUUAGAUCCAGAUUGAAAUGGUAUCGUUUACUGCGUUUGACUUUGAUUAUUCGGAGCUUUUGGGUUUAAUUGUCGAGUCAGUCCUCCAAUUUUGAAAUAAAUUUUAAUUUAACAUGAGUUUAGCCUUUUAAAAAAGAAGAAGAAGAAAUCAAUAGCAUUUUUUAAUUAUAAUUAAUCCUAUUUUCGUACAUUAUAAAACCUAACAUUAUUUGUAAUAUUUGAUUUUUAUGUUUUUAAAUCUACAAUUAUUAUAACUUAAGAUAUAAUAGAUCAUUGUUUUAGUUUAUAUCCUAUACUUUAAAUUUAUUAUAUAAUAAUAUUUUGAAUCUACCAUAUUUAUUUAAUUUUGUCUUUUCCUUUUGGUUCCAUUUUAAGUCCCGAUUUUAAAUUUAUUAAUAUUUUCAUUAUAAUUGUUGUUAUUACUCUUCUAAAUUGUUUUACUAUAUUUAAUUUUCUCUUCAAAAAGUGUUUUUUAAAACAAAUUAAUUCUUAAUUUUAAUUCAUUUUCUAACAUUAUUUUGGUAUUUAGUAUGAUAUUAUUUUCAAAUUUAUUAUUAGUACAUUUUUUAAAAUAAUACAUUAUUUUUUUAAAUUAUUAUCAAUAUGUUUUAUUUUAUCAAUAUUAGUUUAAAAAUAUAUAUGAUUUAUAUGAAAUUAUUCUAGUAUAUAUGUAUAUAGAUUACAUCAUUAACUUUAGAUUAACCUCUUUUACAUAAUUUUUUUAAAAUGUUUUAUUCCUUAAACCUUAUUUAUUUUAUUUGUUUUAUAGGUUGUUAAAUUAUUAAUAUGGAUGUUUGUAUGACAUGAUUAAGAUCAAUGUUUAUAUUUUCCUAUUAUUUGUUUAAUUGCUUCUAGUUUAAGUUUAAGUUGUUAUUUAUCUUUUAUAUAUCGUUAUUUAAUCAUGUUUUAUUUGUAAGAAUUGAAUUUUAUUAAAGCAUCAUAAUUCCUAAAAAAGCUUGGUGUUUAAUAGUUCUCAAGAGAGUUGUGCCCUAACUUACUGGGCUUCAAUUCUUCUCGAUGAAUUUAUAUCAUCAAGUAUCCACUUUAUACAAUUUUAAAAUAAAAUUCUUUAGAUUUCAAAAUGUGGGAUCCUAGCUUACUGGAUACGACAUUUUGUUAUCUCGAUGUUAAAAUAAAUGCAAUAUUUGAUGUUUAAAAAUUUCAAGAAAUCGAACCCUAACUUACUAGAUUCUGAUUUCUCGAUUGACUUAAAUAGUCAAAUAUCCUUCUUAAAACAUGUUUAAAAUUUUCAAAAAAGGGACGAACUUAACUUCGAAGAUUGAACUGUUGCACUCUAACUCACUGAGUGUGGCGAUUUGUUUCUUUGAAAUGGGUCCGUCCACUUAACCAAUUCAAUUGUUUAAGUUUUCAUUUCAUGGGAUCGUAUUUAAAAAUCUUUUCAAGUUUCGACACUAAGACAUUAAAUAACCAAUUCGGUACCAAUUUUGGGCGUUACGAGGGUGCUAACCCUUCCUCGUGUGUAACCGACUUCCGAACUUAUCUUCUCAAAAUUCGCAGACCAAAAAACUUGUUUUCAAGGUGAUCCGAUCACACCUCAACAAAAAUCGGUGGCGACUCCAAUUUUCAUUUUUUAAAGUCGACUACUAAUAAAUUUUUGUUUUCAAAAAAUGAUUUCGACAACAAAUAUAAAAUAAAUGAAACUAAAUACAUUUCAAAUAUAAAAUAUUCAAUAAUAAACUUAACAAAUAAAAAUUUAUCAUUGAAAUAAAUCCAAAAUUAUUAAUAACAAUCCAUCAUUUAAUAUGAAAUUUUAAAGAUUUAGCUCAUUUACUUAAUAAGAGAAGCUGAAAGGUGAACGAAUAUAUAUUUCUUUUAGAAUCAGGUGAACGGUUUUUUCUUAACUAUAUUUUGAAUGUGAAAGUAUAUUCCAUUUUUUAAAAACUUUACAUUUCCAUGUAGCAUUUUUAGUUAGUUACGUUUCAAUUAAGUUUUUAGCAUAAUAGUAAAUAAUUAAAAGUUUAAUAUUUUUAAUAUUAUUCAUGCACAGGACGGUGCAUUAUGUUCUGGUAGGUGUGACAGGAAUUGAUCGGAAUGAGUUGGUGCAAUUGGUACAGACCGAAAUUUUGACCAGUGUAGAAAAAGCGUGUUGGGUGUUUUGCAAUGUUAUUAAAACCAAACUAAACAGACCAAGAACCGAUGAACCUGAGGACUAGAGUAAACUGUAGUUAAACUACAAAUCAUCAGUCGAUUAAGCCGUAUUUAAACAUUUUCUAAACUUGAAAAAUAAAAAAUUCACAUCAAAUCCCUUGAGCUUUUGUCACACUUCUUAUCUGCACUCAAUGAAAUAAAACACAACAAAAAAUAAGCACCAUUCCUUUUAUUACUUUUUCUACUAAAGUAAGUUUUUUUUUCUCGUAAAAAACCUAAGAUGGACUUAUAACAUUCAAUCAAAGGAAAAACAAAUUAGGAAAGUAGAAAGAUGGGGAGAGAGUUUUAAAAUUCAAAGCCUUUAAAAUUGAUAGAUGAGUUUGGGGUUAUUAAUAUUAUUUUAUAUUGUUGAAUAGAAAAUGAAUUGUAUUGGUGGUUGAAUGUGUGAGAUUAAGAAUUAAUGAUUUGAUUAAUUUGAUUAUCAAUCUAAUUUUAUAAAUAGUAAUAUUUCGAUAUAAAAUUGAAACAGUAGACACAAAUGAGCAUAACCGAAAUCUGUAACCACCUUAAUUUAAUACAUAAUUUGAGAUUCAUAUAAAAUAUUAUCUUUGAAAUAUAUUGAAAGAGGAAAGUAAUCGUACGUAAAUGCAUAACUUGGAAGAGAUAAUGAAGCAGGAAUCAUUAUAUUAACAGUGGUAUUUUCUCGAUGUACGGCUGCACAAUAUCUUGACCUGCAUUUCUCGUUUGAUUCUUUUCUUAAUUAGCUAAACUCAUGUUAACAAUGGUAUAACAGUAAUUAAUUACUUCAUGGACAGAACAUCAAUAUAUAAAUACCCCAUAUAUAAUAAGCAACAACGUAUCAAAAUACACCAAAUAAUGGGAACUGGAGAACGCCCAUUUAUACAAACAAAUAUAAGUAGGAAAAAUCAAUACUCAUAAUAAAGACACAAAGAGGACUAAAAACCUUAUUAAACUAGAUCCAGUAUGUAGCAUAACAGAAAAGGGGGCAUUUCAAGGAGUAGAACUAGAAGGUGGUGGAGAAAAGAAAGGAAUAGAGGGAACUGCAGCUGGGAUUGAGGGAAUGUUUGGAAGAGGCGGCAGUCCUCUUGGCAAUGUGGUAGGAAGUGGAGGAAGCGCCCCAGGGUUUGGGAGAUAAGGGAAAGAUGGCAAUGGUGGAAAAUAGAAAGGAAUAGGGGGAACAGCAGUUGGGAUUGUGGGGACUGAGGGAAUGCUUGGCAGAGGGGGUAGUCCUGUUGGCAAUGUGGUAGGAAGUGGAGGAAGCGCCCCAGGCCAUGGGAAUGAUUGUCGGGAUGGCGUUGGGAGAUUAGAGAAAGAUGGUAAACUUCGCGGUUGAGGCUGCUGCAGAAGGUGACGAGCUGCUACCCCAACAUCAAUGCUUGCAAAUGACAAAGCAAUCAAGAAUGCUAAAGCAAGGCAAUUGAAAGAGGCCAUUUUUGUUCAGAGAUUUCGAAACAAAUGAAGCAGAUGAAACAAAGUUCUUUAUCUGAAUAGUUGUGGGUGAAGAAAACAAAGCACGGUAUUGAGGUUUAUAUAGGCAUUGGAGCAAUGAAUAGAAAUCCCCUGCCCCUAAACAAUGCCCCAUGCAUGCCCCCAAACCAAAAUAGCGCCACAUGUUUUUUAUUUUUUUCCAUUUUAGUUGUAGUUCAUUUUUUAAAUAAAAAUUUAUAAUGAUUUGGAUGAAUUUUUAACUUAUUAUCAACGUUUUUGUUUUUGUUUUAUUUUCUAUUAAUUUUACCUAUUCUUUAAUUAACAAAUUUAUAAUGACUUGGAAUUAAUUUAACAGUGUUUUUUUUUAUAAUCGUUCUUAUAAUAAAAUUUAAAAAGGUGGGAACGAGUCCCACAAUGACAACAUGAUCCAUGCCUUUAGUCAAAGGUUCAGAUAACAUCUGCUCAGUGUUAAUGUGCUCAAUGACGACUUUCUUUUCUUUAACAUAUUCCCUUAUGGCUAGAUACUUAAAAUCGAUAUGUUUACUUCGACUUUCACUUUUGUCGCUCUUAGCCAUAAAUACAGCAAUUGAAUUGUCACAAUAUAUGAAAUAAUCGAAACCUAUAAUGACUCAGCUCAAAAAACUCGAGCCUCAAACCCAAAUUAAAUUAAAUCAAAAUCAUAAUUUAUUAUAUACAAUUGCAUAAAAUUAACAUAAUUUAAGUGUCAUAGUGCACAUUAAAUUAAAGUUUAUGUUUGACAUUAUAGAUUGAAGCAAUAUUCAUGUGUAAAAUUUUGAGAUUUAUUUCCUUAAUGAAAGUAAUAUUUCAAAUAGAAUACUUGAACAAUCCUCCAUGUUGGCAAACUUUAUGUACAUUAGAAACGAACUAAAUAAUUAGAAUAAAUCUAAAGUAUGGCUUACAUUUAAUUUAUUCAUAAUGUGACUUAAACUUUGGCCUUCAAGAUUUCACGGUCUCAAAUUAUGUCUUAAAAUUUUAAGAUCAUUUUAGGUUUGUUAAAAACAUCAAUAGUUUAGAAAGUUAGAAUUGUUGCUUGAGGCGUGGAUUUCCCUAUUCUUUAGGAUAUUCGUGGAUUUACUAUCCCUCAAGAUUUAAUUUGUAUCAUGUGCAAUGAAAAAAUUGAAAAAGAAAAUUCCCAUUUGAAUGGAAUUGAGCUAUUAGGCUCAGGCCUCGUGUGCGCAUAUAUAUUCUCUUAUUUUGAGUCUUACAAGUUUAUAGUAAACCAAAUCUAUAUAAACAUCAUUUUAUAAGUGUAUCUAAGAUAUGUUUAAUAUGUGUAAUUCUUUAAAAUACAUGAAAACUUCAAAUGUGGUUUAGGUCAUUUUCAGAUUUGUCUUAUUUAGGUUCAAAUCAUUCGAAUUUGAGGCUAAGUUUUUCAUGUGUAAUCAUUAUUGAUCCGAAUCAUUUUAGAUUUUGAUCAUUUUAAGUUCUAAUUAUUUUGUGAUCAAAUCAUUUCAAGUUUAGAUAAAUUUGGGUCAAUUUUGAAUUUGACUUAAUUACGUAAUUAACCUUUUUUAUAAUAAAUUGAGCUGAAUGAACUUUAGAUUGGAAUUUAUUUAGUGUACCUUUGUGUUUAAGUUGAAAUUUAAACAUCUGUAUUAGAAAUACACAUGUUAAUACAAUUUUAUGUUAAAGACAAUAAUACGACAAAAUUAAUUUGGGAGAUAAACAUGUUAAUUUUUUAAUCCCAACCAAAAUUGUACAUAAUUGUUUUAUAUCAUAUUAAAUACAUGUAACGUCUUAUAAAAAUUGUCAAUAAAUUAUGCCUAGCGACAACGUUAUUCAAAUCUAAUUUCAUUGUUAAUACCUAUUUCUAUUUUUCUUCUAAUAUCUUCAACUUUAAAUAUAAAGGAAUUGAAAUUUUAAGAAUUGAGAUUUCUUUUCUUUAUAUUAGUGGACAUUUGAUUUUUUGUUUGAUUUUUUUUACUAGAAUUGAUGCAUAUCUUUUCAGAUUUAUCAAUAUUUUUUAAAAUUAUUUAAGAUAUGUAUAUAAAUAUAUUACAAAUAUAAAAUGAAUGAAACUAAAUACAUUUCAAAUAUAAAAUAUUCAUUAAUAAACUUAACAAAUAAAAAUUUAUCAUUCAAAGAAAUCCAAAAUUAUUAAUAAUAAUCCAUCAUUUAAUAUGAAAUUCUAAAGAUUUAGCUCAUUUACUUAAUAAAAGAAGGUGAAAGGUGGACGAAUAUUUUUUAUUUGAUAAUCAGGUAAAUGGUUUUUUCUUAAUUAUAUUUUGAAUGUGAAAGUAUAUUCCAUUUUUUUUUAAAAUUUACAUUCCGAUGUAGCGUUUUUAAUUAGUCACGUUUCAAUUAAGUUUUUAGCAUAAUAGUAAAUUAUUAAAAGUUUAAUAUUUUUAAUAUUAUUCAUGCAUAGGACGGUGCACUAUGUUCUGGCAGGUGUGACAGGAAUUGAUCGGAAUGAGUUGGUGCAAUUGGUACAGACCAAAAUUUUUACCAGUGUAGAAAAAGGGUUUUGGGUGUUUCGCAAUGUUAUUGAAACCAAACCAAACAGACCAAAAACCGAUGAACCCGAGAACUAGAGUAAACUGCAGUUAAACUGCAAAUCAUCAGCUGAUUAAGCCGCAUUUCGCAUUUUCUAGACUGGAAAACAAAAAUUUCACUUCAGAUCCCUUGAGCUUUUGUUACACUUCUUCUCUUAACUCAAAAUAAAACAAACCAUACAAAGAAUAAGCACUGUUUCUUUUAUUACUUUUUUAUUACUCAGUGAAAAACCUGGACUUAUAACAUUCAAUCAAAGGAAAAAAAAGACAAAUUAGGAAAGAUGAAAGAUGGGGAGAGGGUUUUAAAAUUCAAAGCCGUCAAAAUAGAUGAGUUUGGGGUUAUUAAUAUUAUUUUAUAUUGUUCAAUAGAAAAUUAAUUGUAUCGGUGGUUGAAUCUGUGAGAUCAAAAAUUAAUUAAUUGAUUAAUUUAAUUAUCAAUCUAAUUUUAAAAAUAUUAAUAUUUCGGUAUAAAAUUAAUACAGUGCACACAAAUUAAUAUAACCGAAAUCUGUACGAAACCGAGCACCUUAAUUUAAUACAUAAUUUGACAUUCAUAUAAAAUAUUAUCUUGGAAAUAUAUUGAAAGAGGAAAGUAAUCGUAUGUAAAUGGAUAACUUGGAAGAGAUAAUGAAGCAGGAAUCAUUAUAUUAACAGUGGCAUCUUCUCGAUGUACGGCGGCUCACUAUUUUGACUGCAUUUAUCGUUUGAUUCUUUUCUUAAUUAGCCAAACUCAUGUUAACAAUGGUAUAACAGUAAUUAAUUACUUCAUGGAUAGAACAUCAAUAUAUAAAUACCCCAUAUAUAAUAAGCAACAACGUUUCAAAAUACACCAAAUAAUGGGAAUUGGAGAACGCCCAUUUAUACAAACAAAUAUAAGUGGGCAAAAUCAAUACUCAUAAUAAAGACACAAAGACGACUAAAAACCUUAUUAAACUAGAUCCAGUAUGCAGCAUAACAGAAAAGGGGGUAUUUCAAGGAGUAGAGCGAGAAGGUGGUGGAGAAAAGAAAGGAAUAGAAGGAACUGCAGUUGGGAUUGAGGGAAUGCUUGGCAGAGGCGACAGUCCUCUUGGCAAUGUGGUAGGAAGUGGAGGAAGCGCCCCAGGGUUUGGGAGAUAAGGGAAAGAUGGCAAUGGUGGAAAAGAGAAAGGAAUAGGGGGAAUUGCAGUUGGGAUUGUGGGGACUGAGGGAAUGCUUGGCAGAGGGGGCAGUCCUGUUGGGAAUGUGGUAGGAAGUGGAGGAAGCGCCCCAGGCCAUGGGAAUGAUUGUCGGGAUGGCGUUGGGAGAUUAGGGAAAGAUGGUAAACUUUGCGGUUGAGGCUGCUGCAGAAGGUGACGAGCUGCUACCCCAACAUCAAUGCUUGCAAAUGACAAAGCAAUCAAGAAUGCUAAAGCAAGGAAAUUGAAAGAGGCCAUUUUUGUUCAGAGAUUUCGAAACAAAUGAAGCAGAUGAAACAAAGUUCUUUAUCUGAAUAGUUGUGGGUGAAGAAAACAAAGCAUGGUAUUGAGGUUUAUAUAGGCAUUGGAGCAGUGAAUAGAAAUCCCCUGCCCCUAAACAAUGCUCCAUGCAUGCCCCCAAACCAAAAUAGCUCCACAUGUUUUUUAUUUUUUUCAUUUUAAUUUUUUAAAAUAAAAACUCUGUAAUGAUUUGAAUUAAUUUUUAACUUAUUAUCAACGUUUUUAUUUUUGUUUUAUUUUUAUUUUACAUUAAUUUUACCUAUUCUUUAAUUAACAAAUUUAUAAUGACUUAGAGUUAAUUUGAGAGAUUUUUUUUUUAUAAUUGGUCUUAUAAUAAAAUUUUACAAAGCAGAAACAAGUUCCACUGUGAAAACAUGAUCCUUAAAUUUUUGGAGAUAACCAUGUUAAUUUUUUAAUCCCAACCAAAAUUCUAAAUAAUUCUUUUAUGUCAUAUUAAAUACACGUAACGUCUUAUAAAAAUUGUCAAUAAAUUAUGCAUAGUGACAAGGUUAUUCAAAUCUAAUUUCAUUGUUAAUACCUAUUUCUAUUUUUCUUCUACUGUCUUCAACUUUAAAUAUAAAGGGAUUGAAAUUUUAAGAAUUGAGAUUUCUUUUCUCUGUAUUAGUGGACGUUUGAUUUUUUAUUUUAUUUUUUUAUUGGAAUUGAUACAUAUCUUUUCAGAUUUAUCAAUAUAUUUUAAAAUUUUAUAAGAUAUGUAUAUAAAUAUAUUAAAAAUAUAAAAUGAAUGAAACUAAAUACAUUUCACAUAUAAAAUAUUCAUUAAUCAACUUAAGAAAUAAAAAUUUAUCAUUCAAAUAAUCCAAAAUUAUUACUAAUAAUCUCAUUUAAUAUGAAAUUUUAAGGAUUUAGCUCAUUUACUUAAUAAAAGUAGUUGAAAGGUGAAUGAAUAUUUUUUUUAUAAUCGGGUGAAUGGUUUUUUUCUUAAUUAUAUUUUUAAUGUGAAAGUAUAUUCUAAUUUUUUUUAAAAACUUUACAUUCCGAUGUAGCAUUUUUAAUUAGUCACGUUUCAAUUAAGUUUUUAGCAUAAUAGAAAAUAAUUAAAAGUUUAAUAUUUUUAAUAUUAUUCAUGCGCAGGACGGUGCACUAUGUUCUGGCAGGUGUGACUGGAAUUGAUCGGAAUGAGUUGGUGCAAUUGGUACGGACCGAAAUUUUUACCAGUGUAGAAAAAGGGUGUUGGGUGUUUCACAAUAUUAUUGAAAGCAAACCAAAAAGACCAAGAACCGAUGAACCCGAGAACUAGAGUAAACUGCAGUUAAACUACAAAUCAUCUGUCGAUUAAGUCGUAUUUUCACAUUCUUUAAACCGGAAAAACAAAAAUUACACUUCAAAUCCCUUGAGCCAUUGUUAUACUUUUUCUCUGCACUCAAUGAAAUAAAACACAACAUAAAAAAAAUAAGCACCAUCUCUUUUAUUACUUUUACUACUAAAAUAACUUUUUUUUUCUUGUGAAAAACCUAAGAUGGACUUAUAACAUAUAAUAAAAAGGGAAAAAAAAGACAAAUUAGGAAAGAUGAAAGAUGGGGAGAGGGUUUUAAAAUUCAAAGCCGUCAAAAUAGAUGAGUUUGGGGUUAUUAGUAUUAUUUUAUAUUGUUCAAUAGAAAAUUAAUUGUAUCGGUGGUUGAACCUGUGAGAUCAAAAAUUAAUUAAUUGAUUAAUUUAAUUAUCGAUCUAAUUUUAAAAAUAUUAAUAUUUCGGUAUAAAAUUAAUACAGUGCACACAAAUUAAUAUAACCGAAAUCUGUACGAAACCGAGCACCUUAAUUUAAUACAUAAUUUGACAUUCAUAUAAAAUAUUAUCUUGGAAAUAUAUUGAAAGAGGAAAGUAAUCGUAUGUAAAUGGAUAACUUGGAAGAUAUAAUGAAGCAGGAAUCAUUAUAUUAACAGUGGCAUCUUCUCGAUGUACGACUGCUCACUAUUUUGACUGCAUUUAUCGUUUGAUUCUUUUCUUAAUUAGCCAAACUCAUGUUAACAAUGGUAUAACAGUAAUUAAUUACUUCAUGGACAGAACAUCAAUAUAUAAAUACCCCAUAUAUAAUAAGCAACAACGUAUCAAAAUACACCAAAUAAUGGGAAUUGGAGAACGCCCAUUUAUACAAACAAAUAUAAGUGGGCAAAAUCAAUACUCAUAAUAAAGACACAAAGACGAUUAAAAGCCUUAUUAAACUAGAUCCAGUAUGCAGCAUAACAGAAAAUGGGGUAUUUCAAGGAGUAGAGCGAGAAGGUGGUGGAGAAAAGAAAGGAAUAGAGGGAACUGCAGUUGGGAUUGAGGGAAUGCUUGGCAGAGGCGGCAGUCCUCUUGGCAAUGUGGUAGGAAGUGGAGGAAGCGCCCCAGGGUUUGGGAGAUAAGGGAAAGAUGGCAAUGGUGGAAAAGAGAAAGGAAUAGGGGGAACUGCAGUUGGGAUUGUGGGGACUGAGGGAAUGCUUGGCAGGGGGGGUAGUCCUGUUGGCAAUGUGGUAGGAAGUGGAGGAAGCGCCCCAGGCCAUGGGAAUGAUUGUCGGGAUGGAGUUGGGAGAUUAGGGAAAGAUGGUAAACUUUGCGGUUGAGGCUGCUGCAGAAGGUGACGAGCUGCUACCCCAACAUCAAUGCUUGCAAAUGACAAAGCAAUCAAGAAUGCUAAAGCAAGGCAAUUGAAAGAGGCCAUUUUUGUUGAGAGAUUUCGAAACAAAUGAAGCAGAUGAAACAAAGUUCUUUAUCUAAAUAGUUG
rnacentral:lncRNA from 1 species